UACGUAGGGCGCAAGCGUUGUCCGGAAUUAUUGGGCGUAAAGAGCUCGUAGGCGGUUUGUCGCGUCUGCUGUGAAAACCUAAGGCUCAACCUUGGGCUUGCAGUGGGUACGGGCAGACUAGAGUGCGGUAGGGGUGACUGGAAUUCCUGGUGUAGCGGUGGAAUGCGCAGAUAUCAGGAGGAACACCGAUGGCGAAGGCAGGUCACUGGGCCGCAACUGACGCUGAGGAACGAAAGCGUGGGGAGCAAACAGG
rnacentral:rRNA from 1 species